rnacentral:lncRNA from 1 species
GAAAAUGGCGUAAAAUAAUACAGAAGGCCUCGUCGAAGCUUUGAAACUCCGGCGAGGUUUCAGCGACGGCGAAGGUACCUCAAGUAAGUAGUCAAAUUCCUUGCUCUCUACUUGUAUUGCUUCUGUUUUGUUUACUUUCCUUCUCCUACUCAUGUAUUCACUUUCUCUGUUGAGUGGGUGUUAGGCUAGCUGAGAGUGAGUAUGAGCUAAACCUUUUUUAGGAUUCAAUAUGAAGCUUAAGAAGAUUAGGAUAGUGAGAUAUUUAGUAAUGGGUUAGGAUUUUUUUAGCAGAGUUUCAUUGUGAGAUUUUGCGUGUUUUGAGUGAAAUGAGGGGAUGGAUUAUAUAGGGUGAGCGAUGAUCAAAGAGAGGGAAAAGAGUGAGUUGUUAGAGGAAUUUGGAGGGAAAAUGGUGAUCCUCAUGCUAAUCUGAGAUGAAAGGUUGAGAUGAUUUGGAUUGGAAUUUGGUUGAGCUUUGUGUUAGUUUGAGGAAUUGUGUUAGUCAUGUGUGUGCAGGAUGAAUGAUGAUGUAUGGAUCAUGGUGAAUUUUGAGUGGUUCACGCGUUUGCUCUUUGAUUCUAAGUUUUGUUUGCUUUUUUUCUCUUGUUUGAAUUUUAAUUCAAAUUCAAAUGGAUAUAUGUGUUGGUGAUGGUAUGGUAUUUUUGUUGAGUGGUGAUGGAUUGUGUAAUGGUGGAAAAUCAUGUGUUUCUCACUACUUUAUUUUAUUAAGUCAAUUUAAAUCUACUUAGUUUGGAUGGUGAAGUAAGUUAUGUCUGUAUAUUGAUACAUAUGGAUGAUGAUACUAUGUAAAACUAUGAAUUGAUAUCAUGUGUUUUGCCUUUAAUUUGUUUUGAGUGUUGCUCAUGAUACUGAUAAUGCAUUAUAUAGAAAACUCACAUGAAUUUUGUUGUUUGAAAGAUGCAGGGUAAUGGUAAGAUGAUGCUUUGGGAUGAUGUUAUAGUCAUGGUGAAAUGGUGCAAAGGUAAAGGGAAUAAGAUGGAAGCAAAUUAAAGAUGGUGAUGAGAUCGGGAUGAUGGUGAUAAAGAGGAGGUCAUGAGGGCCACCAACAUUUUGGAAAUUCAUUCUUUUUGUUUUAUUUUUUGUCUUAUUAUUUUAAAAAUGUGACGUGUGCAUAAUGUUAACAAAAUACUCUUUUAAAUAUUUUUGUAUUAAUAUUUGACAAUGUAAAGUAAAAAAUACUCAUUCAUUUUAUGGAAUACACAUCCUCUUCAUCAUAUUUCAAACACCAAUCACUUGAUACAAAUGACAUGAUAAAAUAAUGUAACUUGCAAAUUUUUACUUUCAAAUGCUUUUAUAAAACUUAA